AAAAAAAACAAAACAAAGUUUAAGCAAUUUAUUUAUUUAUUUAUUAUUGAAUUGAGAGAACAAACAGAAAUGCUGGAUUCGCUGAGAAUCCUAAAUGUCGGGCUAAGGACAGCUUAAUUUAACGGGAGAUGGGCGUUCCUUUUUGCUGUUAUUUUGUGGGAGCUUUAGAAAUGGAGGAAGGAGAGGUUGUUUGACCCAAAACACAUGCCUACUCAGGCUAAGUUUCAUUUUCUUAAACAUUAUGAAUAUCAGACUGACAAAGUGUUGUUUUCGAAUGCCUCUUUAUGCUUAUCAUCUGGUUGGCUGGGCUGCUCCUCCAAAUUUGGAUGGUUGCUCUAACGGCAAUCCAAGUAGUGCUGGAGGAUGGAUUCUGCAAUGAAUAUUGACUGCGUUAGAGAUUCUAUAUCACUAAAGAAUAAAAAAGGCAAAUAAUUUUUAUUAUAAGAACUCAAUCAACCAAGUAGCUAGUUCUAAUAAUUUUAGAAAUGAUUGGAUCCAAAUUCCAUUCCAUUAAUUGAGCUUAAUACUCACCCAUACUAUCCUAAUUUGGUUAAAAUUUAUAAGUAGUUGAUGCAGAAUCUGUGUUUGGCAUAUCCAAAAAGGAGAUUAUAGAACUGAGAUCCUCAAGAAGCAUAAUUGCCAACACAAGAUAGUUGGGUAGGAUUUGAGUGGCUGUGUUGAUUGAAAUUAGGCCAUUAUAAUUGGAAGGAUUACUAGGAGAUAACUGGAGGCUCAGAAGUGGUGGAUUUAGAGGUGGGUGUUGCUGUUUCCGUUGAAUGGAUGAAGAAUUAUGAGUGGGACAGUGGAAAAAUAAAUUGGUAGGUUGCAUUUGAAAGGAGAUAAAAAAAGAAUACAAAAAUAAACGAGAUUAACGUUUUUUUUUUUUUUCUCUAUUGAUUGUUUUGAUUUACAAUAGACAUACGUGUUUAGAUAUUUAUAAGUGAAUGAGAUUUUUAUUUUUUUAGAAGAAAAUUUAGGUUCCUGUUAUGGAAUCAAUAUACUAACUAACAAUUUGAUGAGAAAUUCUUAUCUAAACUUAGUGUAUAUACCAUAAUUAAUAGCAGAGUGACAUGUGUAUAAGUUUUUUACACUUUGAUAUUGGAUGAUUGACAUAUAUUUCACUAUUUAAGAUUAAUGAUUAUGUGUUAAUUAUUUAUCGAUUUGAUAUUUAGUAUAUAGAUGGAAAUAUAGACAAAGUCUAGACAAAAAUCUUUUCGACUUGAUUGAGAAGUGAAAGGUUAGUCCUGUAGAAUUGGUCCAUUGGUAAAUUGUCUUGGCUAUUCCGCAACACGCCCCCUGUCCCGUGCGCUUUCACCCAUUCAUCCCAAGCUUGACCUCUCAAAUUCAAACUUCCAUUUCAACCAUCCAGCGAAGGCUGGAAACCACAAUCAUUGAGUACGAGAAGGACGAUUUCAAGGAAGUGGAAACUAGACGGAAUAUAACAACAGAAAUAAACAAUAUUGAAGAUGAUCGAACAUUAUUAAAAAUUAUCAGACUGCAGGAAAGAAAAAAAGAAAGAAGCAUCAUCCAAGAAUCCGUUCGGAAUUUACCGUGAGUCGAAGCCUUCCACUGAGAAAGGAAAUCAGAAAACUCUCUAGGAAUCAUCACUAAGCCGCUCCACCAAUUAAUUAAAUAUCCCUCCACGAGAAUGAACAAUGAAGGACAACAUGAACUUAAGUUGCCCUAAAGCCCGACAAAAAGGAUAUCGAUUGUUACUAAUGGGGCAUAAACUCAAGUUGAAUGGUCAAUCUCCAGAGGGCAGCGUCCCUGACCCAAGUUGUAGUCCUAGGUUUAAAGAUCUAGAGUUUGGUUGGUUGGUUCUAAUUAUGUUUUCGGUACGAGUUUAGGUAGUGGAUGGGGGGGUCUAGGGAAAAGCACUGGACUUAAUAAGUUACAAGCAAGAUGAAGCUUAAAUAUAGGAUGAUAUAUACGAGCAUGCCUUCACCACAAACUAG
rnacentral:lncRNA from 1 species